CUCGAGGAAGUCGUUGUUUUAAAUGGCAGCCUGCCUGAGCUUUGGGCUUCAAUUGGUUGGACUUGAAGGACUUUGAUGGGCUUAUUGUCGGGACGGAUGACGUGCAUGUUCGAGCAGAAGAGUUCCUUGAUGAACACAGAAGUUCUGGCACUGUUGCCACUGAAACUAGUAAUGGAAAAAUUUCAAGUGCACCAAGAUCUGCACAGCCAUUAAAGCAAGCCAAAAUUGGAACUGAGAAUUCCUUGAAACGUGUUUAUCUCCUAGGAGCCAGAAGAAAAAAUAUUAGUGAAGUAUGUAACUCUGGAGCUGAAAAAGACGUGUACUCCUUCUCAAAUAUGCAAAGUAAGUUGUUUUGUUGUGGAGAGAGGAAGAAAAUCUUCAACACAAUCACCUGGUGUUUCAAAGAUGUGCCUUUCAAAAAAGCUGAGCAGUGGAAUAGGGACUGGGCAAACUGUAAGAGAUAGCAAGCUUUCAUUGUGCCACAUUGGAGUGAAUACCAAAAUGACUUCUAAAGCCAAAGCAAAUCAACCUUUGACUAAAAGUAUCUCAAAGAUACCUGGAAUAAACAAAGGGUCUUCACUGGUCUGAUCCAAAUUGAUUGUGCAGGAAACAAGAGCAAAUUUCAAACAAGUAUCUGUCUACUAGAGGUUGUUGUGAAUCCAGGACAUGUGGAUACUUCUUCCCACCCUGAGAAAUGGCAAAGGAAGGACUUGCCAGGAGGUGGAAACUGAACUAAGGUGCUGCUAAACAUAUGACUCCAGGAACCCUGACCAACCUAGACCUCAAAGUGGAUGAUCUGCCAUUGAAUAUGGAUCCCUUGGAUGCUAGCAGUACUGAUAAGAGGCUGCAAAGGUUUCCUCAAGCAAAUGCUGGAUAUUACCUCAAUAUUAUCACUUGUCCAGUUGCAGGACCAGAAAGCUUUAAGCAGGGAUGUUACACAACCUCCAGCAGCAGAUGGGAACAGUGAAGAAGACACCAAGCAGAGGAGCUUGAGCAGUUAUAGUGGGACCUUCUCUAGUUGAUGGCGAAGGUGAGAGAGGACAGCUGGAGCAGUCAAAUGCACCGUCUCUGGAACGAAGAUUGUCUUGAGAUAAGAGAC